rnacentral:rRNA from 1 species
UGGGGGAUAUUACACAAUGGGCGAAAGCCUGAUGCAGCGACGCCGCGUGGGGGAUGAAGGCCUUCGGGUUGUAAACUUCUUUUGCUCUGAACAAGGCGCACCAUGGGGUGUGUUGAGUGUAGGGGUUGAUUAGCGCCGGCUAACUACGUGCCAGCAGCCGCGGUAAUACGUAGGGCGCGAGCGUUGUCCGGAAUUAUUGGGCGUAAAGGGCUUGUAGGUGGCUGGUUGCGUCUGUCGUGAAAGCUCAUGGCUUAACUGUGGGUUUGCGGUGGGUACGGGCUGGCUUGAGUGCAGUAGGGGAGGCUGGAAUUCCUGGUGUAGCGGUGGAAUGCGCAGAUAUCAGGAGGAAUACCGGUGGCGAAGGCGGGUCUCUGGGCUGUUACUGACACUGAGGAGCGAAAGCAUGGGGAGCGAACAGG